AGAGUUUGAUCCUGGCUCAGAAUCAACGCUGGCGGCGUGCCUAACACAUGCAAGUCGAGCGAGAAAGGGGCUUCGGCUCCGAGUACAGCGGCGCACGGGUGAGUAACACGUGGGUAAUCUGCCCUAGAGUGGGGAAUAACACCGGGAAACCGGUGCUAAUACCGCAUACGAUCGUGAUGUCUUCGGAUGUUGCGAUGAAA
rnacentral:rRNA from 1 species